CCCUUAGAUGUUCUGGGCCGCACGCGUGCUACACUGAGUGGAUCAGCGGGUCAGGUUGCGCGAAAGCGUUUCCUAAUCUUUAAAUCCGCUCGUGAUGGGGAUUGACGGUUGCAAUUUUCUGUCAUGAACGAGGAAUACCUUGUAAGCGCGGGUCAUCAUCCCGCGCUGAAUACGUCCCUGCCCUUUGUACACACCGCCCGUCGCUCCUACCGAUUGAGUGGUCCGGUGAGGCGUUGGGAUCUGAGCGGAAAGAGCGUUUCGCUGUUUCUGCUCGGAAAACUCAGUCGAACCUUAUCAUUUAGAGGAAGGAGAAGUCGUAACA
rnacentral:rRNA from 1 species